AUACGGAGGGUGCAAGCGUUACUCGGAAUCACUGGGCGUAAAGCGCGCGCAGGCUGGCUGAUAAGUUGGAUGUGAAAGCCUACGGCUCAACCGUAGAACUGCAUCCAAAAUUGUCAGCCUAGAGUCUGGGAGGGGAAGAUGGAAUUAGUUGUGUAGGGGUAAAAUCCGUAGAGAUAACUAGGAAUACCAAAAGCGAAGGCGAUCUUCUGGAACAGUACUGACGCUGAGGCGCGAAAGCGUGGGGAGCAAACAGGAUUAGAUACCCUAGUAGUCC
rnacentral:rRNA from 1 species